UUGGUAUAUACUUCAAACUCAACUAUGUCAGAUAAACAUAUACUCACAUAAUUAAGAUUAAUACAUAAUAAUUAUGCAUACAAGACUUAAAUACAAACCUACCCCUCUGUAAAAAUACAACACUUUACAAUAUCAAGGGCGACGUUUGGUUCACCACCAUCAGUGGCACACGGCCCGACGGCGGACUACGCCCGCGGUCACGGCGGCAGCGGCGGCAACAAUGGCUGCGACAACAGCUCCUCUAGCGCACUUGCUUCCUCUCCCUCCGCGAAUGGUGACGGCAAGGCACGAACGGCGGCGACCCUUCCUUCGUGACAUGACAGUGAUGGGACGAGCUCGACGUGGACGGCGCGACGAAGAGUUGAACGGCGGCGGUACCCAGCCGCCAACGCCACGCCCUUCUUCAUCUCUUCUUCCUCGCGGUUCCCUCACUCUCUGGAUCUCCAUCUCUCAUUUCUCUUCC
rnacentral:lncRNA from 1 species